rnacentral:rRNA from 1 species
GGUUUUUAGAUUUUAUUAAAAAUCAAGCCUGCUCAAUGCUAAGUAAAUAGCCGCAGAAUUUUAACUGUGCAAAGGUAGCAUAAUCACUUGUCUUUUAAUUGAGGACUAGAAUGAAAGGUUUAACUAUGUAGUUUUGUCUUAUAGUAAUAUUUUGAACUUAAUUUUUUAGUAAAAAAGCUAAAAUUCAUCUUAAAGACGAGAAGACCCUAUUAAGCUUUACAAUUAAAUAUUAUUUUCAAACUAAUUAAAAAAUUGUUCUGCUGGGGCAGCAAAUAAAAAAAUAUUGUUUACAUAUUGUGAUAAAUAAAUCUAGAAAAAUCAAUAAUUUGUUAAAAAAUAAUAAGUUACUAUAGGGAUAACAGCAUAAUUUUUUUAAAGAGUUCUCAUCAACAAAAAAGUUUGUGACCUCGAUGUUGGAUUAAGAAUCCUAUUUUACGCAGUAGUAAAAAAAGGGAGUCUGUUCGACUUUUAAAUUCUUCCA